GACGAACGCUGGCGGCGUGCCUAAUACAUGCAAGUCGAACGCUGAAGGAGGAGCUUGCUUCUCUGGAUGAGUUGCGAACGGGUGAGUAACGCGUAGGUAACCUGCCUGGUAGCGGGGGAUAACUAUUGGAAACGAUAGCUAAUACCGCAUAAUAGUAGAUGUUGCAUGACAUUUGCUUAAAAGGUGCAAUUGCAUCACUACCAGAUGGACCUGCGUUGUAUUAGCUAGUUGGUGAGGUAACGGCUCACCAAGGCAACGAUACAUAGCCGACCUGAGAGGGUGAUCGGCCACACUGGGACUGAGACACGGCCCAGACUCCUACGGGAGGCAGCAGUAGGGAAUCUUCGGCAAUGGACGGAAGUCUGACCGAGCAACGCCGCGUGAGUGAAGAAGGUUGUCGGAUCGUAAAGCUCUGUUGUAAGAGAAGAACGAGUGUGAGAGUGGAAAGUUCACACUGUGACGGUAGCUGACCAGAAAGGGACGGCUAACUACGUG
rnacentral:rRNA from 1 species